rnacentral:rRNA from 1 species
GUGGGGAAUAUUGGACAAUGGGCGAAAGCCUGAUCCAGCCAUGCCGCGUGUGUGAAGAAGGUCUUCGGAUUGUAAAGCACUUUAAGUUGGGAGGAAGGGCAGUAAGUUAAUACCUUGCUGUUUUGACGUUACCGACAGAAUAAGCACCGGCUAACUUCGUGCCAGCAGCCGCGGUAAUACGAAGGGUGCAAGCGUUAAUCGGAAUUACUGGGCGUAAAGCGCGCGUAGGUGGUUUUGUAAGUUGGAGGUGAAAUCCCCGGGCUCAACCUGGGAACUGCCUCCAAAACUGCAUGACUAGAGUACGGUAGAGGGUAGUGGAAUUUCCUGUGUAGCGGUGAAAGGCGUAGAUAUAGGAAGGAACACCAGUGGCGAAGGCGACUACCUGGACUGAUACUGACACUGAGGUGCGAAAGCGUGGGGAGCAAACAGGAUUAGAAACCCGAGUAGUCC